rnacentral:rRNA from 1 species
CACGCCCUAAACGAUGUUAACUAGUUGUUGGGAAGUAAAAUUCUCAGUAACGCAGCCAACGCGAGAAGUUAACCGCCUGGGAAGUACGGUCGCAAGACUAAAACUCAAAGGAAUUGACGG